rnacentral:rRNA from 1 species
GAUUGAACGUUGGCGGCAGGCCUAAAAACAUGCAAGUCGAACGGUAACAGCGGGAGCUUGCUCCCGGCUGACGAGUGGCGGACGGGUGAGUAACACGUAGGAAUCUACCUAGUAGUGGGGGGACAACCCGGGGGAAACCCGGGCUGAUACCGCAUACGCUCUACGGAGGAAAGCGGGGGAUCUUCGGACCUCGCGCUAUUGGAGGAGCCUGCGUCGGAUUAGCUAGUU